AGUGAACGCUGGCGGUAGGCCUAACACAUGCAAGUCGAACGGCAGCACAGUAAGAGCUUGCUCUUACGGGUGGCGAGUGGCGGACGGGUGAGGAAUACAUCGGAAUCUACUUUUUCGUGGGGGAUAACGUAGGGAAACUUACGCUAAUACCGCAUACGAUCUACGGGUGAAAGCAGGGGAUCUUCGGACCUUGCGCGAUUGAAUGAGCCGAUGUCGGAUUAGCUAGUUGGCGGGGUAAAGGCCCACCAAGGCGACGAUCCGUAGCUGGUCUGAGAGGAUGAUCGGCCACACUGGAACUGAGACACGGUCCAGACUCCUACGGGAGGCAGCAGUAGGGAAUAUUGGACAAUGGGCGCAAGCCUGAUCCAGCCAUACCGCGUGGGUGAAGAAGGCCUUCGGGUUGUAAAGCCCUUUUGUUGGGAAAGAAAAGCAGCAGAUUAAUACCCCGCUGUUCUGACGGUACCCAAAGAAUAAGCACCGGCUAACUUCGUG
rnacentral:rRNA from 1 species